rnacentral:rRNA from 1 species
UACGUAGGGUGCGAGCGUUGUCCGGAAUUAUUGGGCGUAAAGGGCUCGUAGGCGGUUUGUCGCGUCGGGAGUGAAAACCAGGUGCUUAACACCUGGCUUGCUUUCGAUACGGGCAGACUAGAGGUAUUCAGGGGAGAACGGAAUUCCUGGUGUAGCGGUGAAAUGCGCAGAUAUCAGGAGGAACACCGGUGGCGAAGGCGGUUCUCUGGGAAUGACCUGACGCUGAGGAGCGAAAGUGUGGGGAGAGAACAGG